GUGGGGAAUUUUGGACAAUGGGCGAAAGCCUGAUCCAGCCAUGCCGCGUGCAGGAUGAAGGCCUUCGGGUUGUAAACUGCUUUUGUACGGAACGAAACGGUCCGGGUUAAUACCCUGGGCUAAUGACGGUACCGUAAGAAUAAGCACCGGCUAACUACGUGCCAGCAGCCGCGGUAAUACGUAGGGUGCAAGCGUUAAUCGGAAUUACUGGGCGUAAAGCGUGCGCAGGCGGUUAUAUAAGACAGAUGUGAAAUCCCCGGGCUCAACCUGGGAACUGCAUUUGUGACUGUAUAGCUAGAGUACGGUAGAGGGGGAUGGGAUUCCGCGUGUAGCAGUGAAAUGCGUAGAUAUGCGGAGGAACACCGAUGGCGAAGGCAAUCCCCUGGACCUGUACUGACGCUCAUGCACGAAAGCGUGGGGAGCAAACAGGAUUAGAAACCCGAGUAGUCC
rnacentral:rRNA from 1 species